rnacentral:rRNA from 1 species
AUUGAACGCUGGCGGCAUGCUUUACACAUGCAAGUCGAACGGCAGCAUGGACUUCGGUCUGGUGGCGAGUGGCGAACGGGUGAGUAAUACAUCGGAACGUACCCAGUAAUGGGGGAUAACUAUCCGAAAGGAUAGCUAAUACCGCAUACGCCCUACGGGGGAAAGAGGGGGAUCGCAAGACCUCUUGUUAUUGGAGCGGCCGAUGGCUGAUUAGCUAGUUGGUGGGGUAAAGGCCUACCAAGGCAACGAUCAGUAGCGGGUCUUAGAGGACGGUCCGCCCAACUGGAACUGAGACACGGUCCAGACUCCUACGGGAGGCAGCAGUGGGGAAUCUUGGACAAGGGGGGCAAGCCUGAUUCAGCAAUGCCGCGUGCGUGAAGAAGGCCUUCGGGUUGUAAAGCGCUUUUGUCAGGGAGCAAAUCCUUGUGGCUAAUACCCACCGGGGAUGAGAGUACCUGAAGAAUAAGGACCGGCUAACUACGUGCCAGCCGCCGCCGUAAGAC